AAGAAGCACCGGCUAACUACGUGCCAGCAGCCGCGGUAAUACGUAGGGUGCGAGCGUUAAUCGGAAUUACUGGGCGUAAAGCGUGCGCAGGCGGCUUUUUAAGCCAGAUGUGAAAUCCCCGGGCUUAACCUGGGAACUGCAUUUGGAACUGGAAGGCUAGAGUGUAGCAGAGGGGGGUAGAAUUCCACGUGUAGCAGUGAAAUGCGUAGAUAUGUGGAGGAAUACCGAUGGCGAAGGCAGCCCCCUGGGUUAACACUGACGCUCAUGCACGAAAGCGUGGGGAGCAA
rnacentral:rRNA from 1 species